UACGGAGGUUGCAAGCGUUGUUCGGAAUAACUGGGCGUAAAGGGGGCGCAGGCGGCUUGGUUAGUCUGAAGUGAAAGCCCGGGGCUCAACCCCGGAAUUGCUUUGGAUACUGCCAAGCUUGAGUACGUGAGAGGAGAGUGGAAUUCCAGGUGUAGCGGUGAAAUGCGUAGAUAUCUGGAGGAACACCGGUGGCGAAAGCGGCUCUCUGGCACGUUACUGACGCUCAGGCCCGAAAGCAUGGGGAGCAAAC
rnacentral:rRNA from 1 species